GUUCCCUCCCUGGGCUGGAUGCCGAUGCUGGGAGACUCGGAAGCCGCAUGUGGAAGAUGGCAGUGCGGGUGAGCAAGGAGAGAAGACACCCAUUGCUCCUGUCUACACCACAUCUAGAAGGCAGAGAAAGGAAAAAGUGUCUUAAAAAAGUAAUAAUAAGGACCCAGCAAGAGAGCACCCUAGCAAUCAAUCGUGGAAGAAAAGGGUGUCGUUAAUUAAAGAAACUGCCCUUCACUCUAGCAACAGAAGAGGGAGCAGUUGAUCUGCACAACCAAUAGGCCGCUCGGGCCUCUAGGCCUCCACUGCAUUGUCUGCUAUUGCCAGUCCGGGGAAACGCAACAGAAAUAAACACCAAUCACAAAGCAGAAAAGGAGAACUAUACUUUCCAGCAGAUGGCGCCACUUCAGAAAACAGUUUGAGUGGAACUGGUGGCUUUAUAAGAAGAGGAAGAGACAUGGGCCAGCAUGUUCAGCCCCCUCGCCAUGUGAUGCCCGGCACCACCUUGGGACUCUGCAGAGAGUCCCCACCAGCAAGAAGCCCUCACCAGAUGCAGCCAUUCAACCUCGGACUUCCCAGCCUCCAGAAGUGUAAGAAAUAAAUUUCACUUCUUAGCAAUUACUCAGUUUCAAAUAUUCUAUUAUAUGCAACAGAAAAUGGACAGAGGGAGUUCUU